CGCAGCCGCGGUAAUCCCAGCUCCAAUAGCGUAUAUUAAAGUUGUUGCAGUUAAAAAGCUCGUAGUUGAAUUUCGAGACCGGUUUACUGGUCGUGCUUUUGUACGUACUGGUAUUAUUGGUUUCUCCUUUCUGACGAAUCAUAAUGCCAUUAAUUUGGUGUUUUGGGGAAUCAGGACUGUUACUUUGAAAAAAUUAGAGUGUUUAAAGCAGGCUCACGCUUGAAUACAUUAGCAUGGAAUAACGAAAUAGGACGUUUGAUUUUAUUUUGUUGGUUUCUAGGAUCGACGUAAUGAUUAAUAGGGAUAGUUGGGGGCAUUAGUAUUCAAUUGUCAGAGGUGAAAUUCUUGGAUUUAUUGAAGACUAACUACUCCGAAAGCAUUUGCCAAGGAUGUUUUCAUU
rnacentral:rRNA from 1 species